rnacentral:lncRNA from 1 species
CGAGAGUGACUAGAAGUAAGAAAUUAAUGAAUGAAUAUGAUCCAAUGACCAAUGUGAUCCAGAACUGAUGAUAAUAAAUUAAAAAGUAAAGAUAUUACACGAAAGUCGAAACCAGAUCCAAGUCAGAAAACCUACCAGUGAGUGAGCUCCCAAUUCAAUUAUGUCUGUUUGAAGCAAGAUUUCUCACCACUCGGAAACCAGACGACAAA